rnacentral:lncRNA from 1 species
CUGUAAUCACCCUCAACGCAGCAACACGUAUUCCUUUUCUCUCUGCUCCCGAUACCUUUUUGGGAAGCUUGGCAAAUUCUUUACAAAACACUUCCUUGAGCCAGGAGCUGAGAUGUUGCAUACACAGAAACAAGAGAGCUCUUGGGAGCACCUAAUUGAGUCGGACAGGAAUGGGAAGCAGUGAUGUAACACAAAGCCAGUGCAGAAUGGAGCAAAAAGCAACAGCUUCUACAGACCCGCUCCUUCUGUGCUGCGUUAAAGGCUCUUCCUAUUUGGAAGAAGAAGCGUGAGGAUUUCUCAGGAAGCUGUGGAGAGAGCUGGGCCAGGCUGACAAAGAGGCAGCGGUCAGGUAGUGUUUAAUUUCAUGGGAGCUGGGUUCAGUCAUGCUUCCCCCACUGACGUCAGUGCAAGAAGAGCACUUUCAGCCAGUUCCUACCUGCUGAGCCCAUAUGUCCACUGGGAAGGAUUUGGCAGACAUCUCCACGUAGAGAUAUAUUUACUCCUAAUUUCAGCAGAAGCUUUCAGCACAACGUUUAUCUGCAGAUGAAGGAUCACCAAAUGCUUACAACUGAAGGAAAUGAACAUCAAAGGUAUCCAGUAAAUUAUUUUGGGAGUUGGAUUUUUCACAGAGCAAGUCUCACUUUUUGUAAGUUCUGUUUUCUAUAAAAAAAAUACAGUUUAUGUAUGGUUUGAAGACAGAAUCUAGCUGUGCAUUACGGUGGGCUCUGGUUUGUAUGUCUGACAGCUGAGCUGUAAGUGAACGUGACAGCUUUGUGGCCAAAAGGAAGUCCCGAGACUCAGCUUCCAGAACUCAGGUUCAGUGAAGUGAGAGAGGUAAGAGAGCACAAAUCAGAACAUUUCUUAUUCUCUCAGUGUAACUAAUGGCCCUCCAGUGGGUCCUGCCCAGUUGUUUUGGGUCGAGAGGGAGGCAAGGAAGGACAAAAGGGGGAAUAGACAUAAACUGUGAAUAAUACAGAGGUUAUUAUAAAUCCUGCAAUACGUGUGUCUGCCAAGAGAAGUGCGUGGACAUAGGCUUUGUGUUUUUGUCAGUACACCUGUGACAGACUGGCUUUGUCAGUGUUCAGAUGAGCUGAUGUUUGGGGAUAUAAAUCAGAACCUUAAUCUCUCUUUAAACGGUGAAUCCAUGACCACGAUAUCUACUUCAAACUGGUUUCCAUUCACCUCACACAUCCUCAGCCACUUCAUUUUGUUCAGGAACAACUGCACACUGCUUUGUAGAUCCAAAACUUAUUUCAUGUUUUCUUCUCACAUCAGUUUGCAACAUAACCUUUUAGCCUGAGAGGCCUACAAGUACAAAAGCUGGAGUGCUGUAAGAAGACAUACUUUUAAUAGUGAGAAAAAAACAAAUCUGGAGGGAGGAAAAGAGGAAAGAUUGCAAUUCAGAUGAAGUAAUGACUUGAGUAUGAGUGAUGGACAUAUGUACAAUGAAGUCCUAAGAGAUAUCCCUUCCUUACAAAUAAUCUGGGCUCUGCUGAAGGCUGGAAGCUUCAGGGCUGUUUUCUAGAAGAGUCUGAGGUACAUUUUCACUUUGUGGUGACUGUUUCCAUAUCUCCCCACAGAAAAAGGUUAUGAAGUACUUCCACUGAAUGGAUACUUUGUUUUUUUCUGUCUUCUAAAGGAUCUUGUUUUUCUUUCUUGCGUGUGUGUGGAGGUGUUUACACCAGAGUACGAUCAAAAUAGCCGACUACAAGGAUGUGUUGAAGUCAAACUCGCAGACCGUUUUAUUCCCAGUCACACCACUUGUAACAAGAGAGAUGAUAUUUCUAGAAAAGGAGGAAUGUAUACUUGAAGGGAGAAGAGUUAGAAGAUAACUGGAGCCAAACAGUAGAAACCCACAAGAGCUGCACUGGUUCAGCCAUUGUGUGGUCAGUGGUCACCAACCACAAGAUAUAUAUUUUUCAUUCCUCUUUAUUGUAGCAGAAUUUGAACAUGACUUAAGGAAGAACUAAGGUUUCUUGGGGCUUUACGUACAAAACCUUUGUGUUAUCUUUUUCUGUAAAGCAAAAUUAUUUUUAGAAUUUAAAUUAAAAAUAAGUAAAUAAA